rnacentral:sRNA from 1 species
AGCAUAGUCUAAACCAAUAUUCUGGAAUGC